CUAACUACGUGCCAGCAGCCGCGGUAAUACGUAGGGGGCUAGCGUUAUCCGGAUUUACUGGGCGUAAAGGGUGCGCAGGCGGUCUUUCAAGUCAGGAGUGAAAGGCUACGGCUCAACCGCAGUAAGCGCCUGAAACUGGGAGACUUGCGUGCAGGAGCGGAGAGGGGAAUGCCGUGUGUAGCGGGGAAAUGCGUAGAUAUUCGGAGGAACACCAGCUGCGCAGGCGGCCCUCUGGCCGGUAACUGACGCUGAGGCACGAAAGCGUGGGGAGCAAACAGGAUUAGAUACCCUGGUAGUCCACGCUGUAAACGA
rnacentral:rRNA from 1 species